rnacentral:rRNA from 1 species
GAUGAACGCUAGCGGCGGGCCUAAUACAUGCAAGUCGAACGGUGCAGCAAUGCAUAGUGGCAGACGGGUGCGUAACGCGUAUGCAACCUACCUUUUAUCGGGGGACAACAUUUCGAAAGAAGUGCUAAUACCGCGUAAGAUAGUAGUGGGACAUCCCACAGCUAUUAAACUUUCGGGGAUAGAAGAUGGGCAUGCGUCUGAUUAGCUAGUUGGCGGGGUAACGGCCCACCAAGGCGACGAUCAGUAGGGGAACUGAGAGGUUGAUCCCCCACACUGGCACUGAGAUACGGGCCAGACUCCUACGGGAGGCAGCAGUAGGGAAUAUUGGGCAAUGGACGGAAGUCUGACCCAGCCACGCCGCGUGCAGGAGGAAGGCGCUCUGCGUUGUAAACUGCUUUAGCAGGGGAAGAAAGACUCAUGCGUGAGGAAUUGACGGUACCCUGAGAAUAAGCACCGGCUAACUACGUGCCAAGCAGCCGCGGUAAACUGU